rnacentral:rRNA from 1 species
UGGCGAACGAGUGAGUAACACGUGGGUGAUCUGCCCUGCACUCUGGGAUAAGCCUGGGAAACUGGGUCUAAUACCGGAUAGGACCAUGCUUUAGUGUGUGUGGUGGAAAGUUUUUUCGGUGUAGGAUGAGCCCGCGGCCUAUCAGCUUGUUGGUGGGGUAAUGGCCUACCAAGGCGGCGACGGGUAGCCGGACUGAGAGGUUGGUCGGCCACAUUGGGACUGAGAUACGGCCCAG